GCCUCUUCCCUCGUGGAAGGGUAGUGUUUAUUAGAUACAGAACCAACCCACCUUCGGGUGGUCCUCAGGUGAUUCAUAGUAACCGAACGGAUCGCAUUAUGGCCUUUUGGUCGGCGAUGGAUCAUUCAAGUUUCUGACCUAUCAGCUUUCGACGGUACUGUAUUGGACUACCGUGGCAGUGACGGGUAACGGGGAAUUAGGGUUCGAUUCCGGAGAGGGAGCCUGAGAAACGGCUACCACAUCUAAGGAAGGCAGCAGGCGCGCAAAUUACCCAAUCCUGACUCAGGGAGGUAGUGACAAGAAAUAACAACACUGGAAAUUAUAUUUCUAGUGAUUGGAAUGAUGGGAAUCCAAACCCCUUUCAGAGUAACAAUUGGAGGGCAAGUCUGGUGCCAGCAGCCGCGGUAAUUCCAGCUCCAAUAGCGUAUAUUAAAGUUGUUGCAGUUAAAAAGCUCGUAGUUGGAUAUCUGCUGGAAGCAGCCAGUCCGCCCUUUGUGGGUGUGCACUUGGUGAAUUCUGGCAUCCUCCUGAUUGGUGUUAUCAUCACUUCAUUGUGUUGAUGGCAGCUGUCAGGACCGUUACUUUGAGAAAAUUAGAGUGUUUCAAGCAGGCUUGUUGCCUUGAAUACUGCAGCAUGGAAUAACAAGAUAGGAUUUCGGUUCUAUUUUGUUGGUUUCUAGGACUGAAGUAAUGAUUAAUAGGGACAGUUGGGGGCAUUCGUAUUUAACUGUCAGAGGUGAAAUUCU
rnacentral:rRNA from 1 species